ACUUGUACUAUGAUUCAUUUUUGAUCAUAUACAUUGCAUUCAUCUUGUUCAUUUUCGAAUUCCUUACAUUUCAUUUCAUCAUUUCUUUCUUACAUCCCAUUUACCUCAAAAUACAUUUUACAUUCUUUUCUUUACAUCACUAAUCAUCAAGUACAAAAGAUGAUAAAAGGGUGUCUACUAACAAAAUGUACCCCAACUUUGGUGGCCUCUGACUAAGGCGCGAUACCUUUACCUCGGUCGCUCGCCGGCUCGCUCGGUCCCGGCUCUGUGGAAAUAGUGGGGUGAGAACUACAACAAAGUUCCCAGUGGGUUCGGCCUCAACAUCACCGACUUUCCCACUAGGACUAACUCAGACAUAAUAGAAAGGAUAAGCAGAAAUAUAGUAACCAAUCUACAACAUGAUGCUAAUAUGCCUGAACAAAAGCAAGGAAUAUGCUCAACAUUAACAUAUGCAGAUUAUGCAAGUUCUUUGUUCUUUAUCUUUACACUUUGUUCUUAUUCUUUGCACUUUGCUCUUUAAUCUUUAAUCUCAAGGCUAACCCGGGGGUUUCGCCACAUUAACUUGCUUCACAAGGUCUAUUCAGUGGGUUCGGCUGCCGACCUCGCCGACUCAUCCACAAGGUCUAUUCAGACAUAUGUAGACAAGAAAAAAGAAUAGAUAGUAACCAGUUAUAACAUGUAACUACUACAAUACCUGCACAAAACUGAAAGAAACAGUAGAUAACAUAUGAAAUUGAUGCAUGCAUGCUGCUAAUAAUCUUUACCCAAUCAAACUGGUCAACCAUUUGGUUAACAAUAACUCACCAACCAAAUUCCUCUAAAUCGGGGGACUCGAACCAUCCGAGGGACCGUCUGCUGGACAAGUACGUUAGUCCUUGGGCAAGUACGUUAGCCCAUCAUGUGACAACUCCGGAGUGCACUGCUUGGGUGGAGCGACCACCGCCAAGCUCAAAACAGACUAUGUGAGUAUGAUCCAAUCCUCACUGAGAGGAUAUACUGACAAUGCCACACUUUAACUAGCUCUUUAUGCUAGAUUUACAUGUCCAAGUCUAGAUGCUAAUCAAUUCAUCUAGUUCUAAUGUCACACUUUAACUUUAACUAGCCCUUUAUGCUAGUUUUACAAUUUCAUUCCCGAUGCUAACCAAUCUCUAAUCAUAAUGUCACCAAGUUUACUAUUGUCAUAGUCCACAGUAAUAUUCACACAUUUAUAGGGUUCUACGUUCAUGUUCUAGUACCCACAUGUUCUUUACACUGACGGAAUUCAAUUGCAUAACGACCCUUUC
rnacentral:lncRNA from 1 species